rnacentral:rRNA from 1 species
GAUGAACGCUGGCGGCGUGCCUAAUACAUGCAAGUCGAGCGAACGGACGAGAAGCUUGCUUCUCUGAUGUUAGCGGCGGACGGGUGAGUAACACGUGUAUAACCUACCUAUAAGACUGGGAUAACUUCGUGAAACCGGAGCUAAUACCGGAUAAUAUUUUGAACCGCAUGGUUCAAAAGUGAAAUACGGUCUUGCUGUCACUUAUAGAUGUAUCCUCUCUGCAUUAGCUAGUUGGUAAGGUAACGGCUUACCAAGGCAACGAUGCAUAGCCGACCUGAGAGGGGGAGCGGAAACACGGGAACGGAGACACGGAACAGACGACUACGGGAGGCAGCAGUAGGGAAUAUUCCGCAAUGGGCGAAAGCAUGACGGAGCAACGCCGCGUGAGUGAUGAAGGUCUUCGGAUCGUAAAACUCUGUUAUUAGGGAAGAACAUAUGUGUAAGUAACUGUGCACAUAUUGACGGUAACUAAUAAGAAAGCCACGGCUAACUACGUG